AGGUCUUGACAUCUUCUGCCAAUCUUAGAGAUAAGACGUUCCCUUCGGGGACAGAAUGACAGGUGGUGCAUGGUUGUCGUCAGCUCGUGUCGUGAGAUGUUGGGUUAAGUCCCGCAACGAGCGCAACCCUUAUUAUCAGUUGCCAGCAUUCAGUUGGGCACUCUGGUGAGACUGCCGGUGACAAACCGGAGGAAGGUGGGGAUGACGUCAAAUCAUCAUGCCCCUUAUGACCUGGGCUACACACGUGCUACAAUGGACGGUACAACGAGUUGCGAAGUCGUGAGGCUAAGCUAAUCUCUUAAAGCCGUUCUCAGUUCGGAUUGUAGGCUGCAACUCGCCUACAUGAAGUUGGAAUCGCUAGUAAUCGCGGAUCAGCAUGCCGCGGUGAAUACGUUCCCGGGCCUU
rnacentral:rRNA from 1 species